rnacentral:rRNA from 1 species
UACGGAAGGUCCGGGCGUUAUCCGGAUUUAUUGGGUUUAAAGGGUGCGUAGGCGGUAUGGUAAGUCAGCGGUAAAAGCCCGGGGCUCAACCCCGGCGAGCCGUUGAAACUGCCGUGCUAGAGAGGAAGAGAAGUAGGCGGAAUGCGCAGUGUAGCGGUGAAAUGCUUAGAUAUUGCGCAGAACUCCGAUUGCGAAGGCAGCGUACCGGCGCCAGACUGACGCUGAGGCACGAAAGCGUGGGGAUCGAACAGG